rnacentral:rRNA from 1 species
UAGAGUCUUGUAGAGGGGGGUAGAAUUUCAGGUGUAGCGGUGAAAUGCGUAGAGAUCUGAAGGAAUACCAGUGGCGAAGGCGGCCCCCUGGACAAAGACUGACGCUCAGAUGCGAAAGCGUGGGUAGCAAACAGGAUUAGAUACCCUGGUAGUCCACGCCGUAAACGCUGUCUACUUGGAGGUUGAGGUUUAAGACUUUGGCUUUCGGCGCUAACGCAUUAAGUAGACCGCCUGGGGAGUACGGCCGCAAGGUUAAAACUCAAAUGAAUUGACGGGGGCCCGCACAAGCGGUGGAGCAUGUGGUUUAAUUCGAUGCAACGCGAAGAACCUUACCUACUCUUGACAUCCAGUGAACUUUCCAGAGAUGGAUUGGUGCCUUCGGGAACACUGAGACAGGUGCUGCAUGGCUGUCGUCAGCUCGUGUUGUGAAAUGUUGGGUUAAGUCCCGCAACGAGCGCAACCCUUAUCCUUGUUUGCCAGCACGUAAUGGUGGGAACUCCAGGGAGACUGCCGGUGAUAAACCGGAGGAAGGUGGGGACGACGUCAAGUCAUCAUGGCCCUUACGAGUAGGGCUACACACGUGCUACAAUGGCAGAUACAGAGGGCAGCGAAGCUGCGAAGUGGAGCGAAUCCCUUAAAGUUUGUCGUAGUCCGGAUUGGAGUCUGCAACUCGACUCCAUGAAGUCGGAAUC